UCUAAUUGCUCCUGUAAAUCGCUUUGGAUAAGAGUGUCUGCUAAAUGACAUAAA
rfam:Salmo salar isolate Sally breed double haploid chromosome ssa14, whole genome shotgun sequence.